rnacentral:rRNA from 1 species
UACGCUGGCGGCACGCCUAAUACAUGCAAGUCGAACGAAGUAGCAAUACUUAGUGGCAGACGGGUGAGUAACAUGUAGGUAUCUUCCCAUUGGUGAGGAAUAACACGAGGAAACUUGUGCUAAUACCUCAUAAGUCUUUACGGAGAAAGCUUUAUGCGCCGAUGGAUGAGCCUGCACUUGAUUAGUUUGUUGGUAGGGUAAUGGCCUACCAAGACAAUGAUCAAUAGCUGAUUUGAGAGGAUGAUCAGCCACAUUGGGACUGAGACACGGCCCAAACUCCUACGGGAGGCAGCAGUAGGGAAUCUUGCACAAUGGGGGAAACCCUGAUGCAGCGAUGCCGCGUGAGUGAAGAAGGCCUUUGGGUUGUAAAGCUCUUUCGUCGGGGAAGAAAAUGACUGUACCCGAAUAAGA